CGGCUGGGUAGACGGGGAGCGGCGGGAGCCGGCCGCCUUUUCUUUCUUCGCCCCGGACUGAAGUGCGGUCGGGGCCGCGCGGCGGAGCGGCUGGAGCGCGCGCCUCCUAGCGGAGCCGGGGCAAUUGGAAGGCCGCGCCUCAGGAAAACAGGAUGGUAGUGAAUGGCACCGAGCCGCCCCAGGGCUGCCGCCGUCACCUCCUCGGCGGCUCCGAGUCGUGCGAGGCAGGGGACCCUUUGCCUUCAGAACAGGGCGCCCGACGUUGGGCGCGUGGACAGAGUCCUCCGGCGGCCGCGCCGCUGGGCCAGGCGGAGAGAGGCGGACGGACUUCAGGGGAGGCCCGGGCCACGCCGCGGAAACUACCCGACUCCCUGGAGGCGGCCAGGACCGACCCUGUCCCGACAAAAUGGAGUUCCCCGUGUGGCUUCAGCUCGCGGCGCGUUCCCAGAGCUCCUCAGUGAUCCGGCUUUCGGAUUGUUCGCCUUUCAUCUCAUUUGCCGUUGUCCAAAUUCUAAUUUAAAACUCAUGUGUUACUUGCUGUAAGGUUAACAAACGUACACCGCAAACUGGAUAAAGGGAUAACUUUUAUGUUGUGUAUGUUUUACCACAAUAAAAAUAAAUUUUGUAAAAAUGUGUCA
ensembl:lncRNA novel transcript